rnacentral:rRNA from 1 species
GAUGAACGCUGGCGGCGUGCCUAAUACAUGCAAGUCGAGCGAACAGACGAGGAGCUUGCUCCUCUGACGUUAGCGGCGGACGGGUGAGUAACACGUGGAUAACCUACCUAUAAGACUGGGAUAACUUCGGGAAACCGGAGCUAAUACCGGAUAAUAUCUUGAACCGCAUGGUUCAAUAGUGAAAGACGGUUUUGCUGUCACUUAUAGAUGGAUCCGCGCCGCAUUAGCUAGUUGGUAAGUUAACGGCUUAUCAAGGCAACGAUGCGUAGCCGACCUGAGAGGGUGAUCGGCCACACUGGAACUGGAACACGGACCAGACUCCUGCGGGAGGCAGCAGUAGGGAACCGGCCGCAAUGGGCGAAAGCCUGACGGAGCGACGCCGCGUGAGUGAUGAAGGUCUUCGGAUCGUAAAACUCUGUUAUUAGGGAAGAACAAAUGUGUAAGUAACUAUGCACGUCUUGACGGUACCUAAUAAGAAAGCCACGGCUAACUACGUG